UUCCGUAGGUGGAAACUGCGGAAGG
rnacentral:rRNA from 1 species